rnacentral:rRNA from 1 species
UACAGAGGGUGCGAGCGUUAAUCGGAAUUACUGGGCGUAAAGCGUGCGCAGGCGGCUAUGCAAGACAGAUGUGAAAUCCCCGGGCUCAACCUGGGAAUUGCAUUCGAGACUGUGUAGCUGGGGUGCGGAAGAGGGAAGCGGAAUUUCCGGUGUAGCGGUGAAAUGCGUAGAUAUCGGAAGGAACAUCAGUGGCGAAAGCGGCUUCCUGGUCCAGCACCGACGUCAGGCACGAAAG